GACGAACGCUGGCGGCGUGCUUAACACAUGCAAGUCGAACGAGUGGGAACGGGUGAGUAACACGUGGGUAACCUCCCAUCAGAGGGGAUAACACUUGGAAACAGGUGCUAAACCGAUACUGAUGGAUGGACCCGCGGUGCAUUGGCUAGUUGGUGAGGUAACGGCUCACCAAGGCCACGAUGCAUAGCCGACCUGAGGGUGGGAUCGGCCACACUGUGACUUGGACACGGCCCGAACUCCGACGGGAGGCAGCAGUGGGGAAUCUUGGGAAAUGGACGAAAGUCUGACCGAGCAACGCCGCGUGAGUGAAGAGGGUUUUCGGAUCGUAAGACUCUGUUGUUAGAGAGGCGGUAUCUAACCAGAAAGCCACGGCUAACUACGUGCCAGCAGCCGCGGUAAUUC
rnacentral:rRNA from 1 species